CCAUCACUCUAAAUGCAGCACAAACAUGUUCUCUUCAGCUCCACUGCUGCUGCUGGCUGCUGCCUCGUAUGUGUUCUGUGCUACUGAGCUCAUCCAGCCAGACUCAGUGCUCAUCAAACCAGCAGAGCCUUUAACCAUAACCUGUACAGUAUCUGGAGCUUCUAUCACUGUCAGCAGUCACUGGGGAACAGGCUGGAUCCGCCAACCUGCAGGAAAAGCUCUGGAAUGGAUCAAUGCCAUUUAUUAUGAUGGAGCCAUACAUGCUAAAGAUUCACUGAAAAGCAAGUUUAGUGUCUCUCGAGACACAACCAGAAACACAGUAACCCUACAAGGACAGAAUCUGCAAGCUGAAGACACAGCUGUGUAUUACUGUGCUCGAAGACUCACACUGACACAGAAAGGCCAGGAUGCUGUUCAAAAACUGUCAAGUGGCAGCACUAAAGAAUACACUCAGUCUGUUAAAGGAAGAUUCACCAUCUCCAGAGAAAACAGUAAGAAGCAGGUGUAUCUGCACAUGAGCAGCCUGAAGACAGAAGACACUGCUGUUUAUUACUGUGCACGAUGA